ACAGAUUAAAAUAAUAUCCGAGAAAUGAUGGCAGGCGAUCAGAAAAUGGAAGUUGACGGAGGUACAGCUGUCAAUCAUGAAGGGAUCAAACAGUACUACAUCAGCAAAAUUGAAGAAUUGCAGCUUGUUGUCACUGACAAGACACAAAACUUAAGAAGAUUAGAAGCACAGCGAAAUGAACUGAAUGCUAAAGUGAGAAUGUUGCGAGAGGAACUUCAGCUAUUACAAGAACAAGGCUCUUAUGUGGGGGAAGUAGUCAAACCCAUGGACAAAAAGAAAGUCUUGGUCAAGGUGCAUCCAGAAGGGAAGUUUGUGGUAGAUAUUGACAAAAACAUUGACAUUAAUGAUGUCACUCCAAACUGCAGAGUUGCUCUUCGAAAUGACAGUUACACACUGCACAAAAUUCUUCCCAACAAGGUUGACCCUCUAGUGAGUCUGAUGAUGGUAGAGAAAGUACCAGAUUCAACCUACGAAAUGGUGGGAGGUCUGGACAAGCAGAUCAAGGAGAUCAAGGAGGUCAUAGAACUGCCAGUCAAGCACCCAGAGCUGUUCGAGGCCCUAGGAAUUGCCCAGCCUAAGGGUGUGUUGCUGUAUGGACCCCCAGGCACUGGGAAGACUUUACUGGCCAGAGCAGUGGCUCACCAUACAGAGUGUACCUUCAUCCGUGUGUCUGGAUCUGAACUCGUGCAAAAGUUCAUUGGAGAGGGCUCCAGGAUGGUGCGAGAGCUCUUUGUUAUGGCCAGAGAACAUGCACCAUCUAUCAUUUUCAUGGAUGAAAUUGAUUCUAUAGGCUCCUCAAGGUUAGAGGGCGGAUCAGGAGGUAAGGCCAUUGAUGGAGUAUGAAAACUUACCCUCAUAAGAAACCCUGCCCAGGGCCAACUCUUUUAUUUUACAUUUUAUUGGUUUCAUGAAUAUUCAUUAUUUUCAUUGUAGCUCAAUAUCAAUGAGAAAACGAAUUUAUCGAUUUUUGGAGAUAUAUUUUAAUAAAACGGCAGAAUAUGUAGUUGUAAUGUGCUUCUGAUUAAGAAAUUAUGCAUUGGCAUUAUUGUGUUUUGUAAGUUAUCCAUUACAAAAAUACUUGUAAGAAGCAACCAAUUCGGAAAAAUAAAGAUUUAACAUAUUCAUGAAACUGGAGUGGAGUUGGGGGCCGAGGAUGAAUAUUUUAAGUUUUUUUUAAAGUCAUUGGUUUCUGACGAUGAAUGCAAGCUGAGUGAUUAACAAACACUUUGUCAGAUAUUAUUAUCAAAAGAAAAUUUAUUGUUAACUAUAUCACUGUUUCAUCAUACAGUGAGAUUGAAGAUAUUUACUCCUAAAAAACUGAACUUUAUAAUUAUAUGAUCACUACAUUGUAAUAUGAAGCCAUAGUAUAUCCCAACCAUCUAGUUUUGUUUUGAUCUUAAAUAAGCAAGUAUAAACUCUAUUGUUACUAGUAAACUAAAUGUUAUUUAUGAUAUAUUCCUUUUGCAGGUGACUCUGAAGUGCAAAGAACAAUGUUGGAAUUAUUAAACCAAUUAGAUGGCUUUGAGCCGAAGCAAAACAUUAAGGUUAUCAUGGCCACCAACAGAAUUGAUAUCUUGGACUCGGCUUUAUUACGUCCAGGCAGAAUAGACAGAAAAAUCGAGUUCCCUCCCCCGAAUGAGGAGGCAAGAUUAGACAUUCUGAAAAUCCACUCCCGUAAGAUGAAUCUGACAAGGGGCAUCAAUCUAAGGAAAAUCGCCGAGAUGAUGCCAGGGGCUUCCGGGGCAGAGGUCAAGGGGGUGUGCACAGAGGCCGGAAUGUACGCCCUGCGAGAGAGACGAGUGCAUGUUACGCAAGAGGACUUUGAGUUGGCGGUGGCCAAGGUGAUGCAGAAGGAUUCAGAGAAAAACAUGUCCAUUAAAAAGCAGUGGAAGUAGAUCUGUUUGGAUCCCAGUCUUCAUUUUUGUUUGUGAAUGUGCAUUGAGGAGGGCAACUUCUGUUACAGAGACAAUAAAAGCCUCCAUUUCUAUCAUUUCUAUACACUUAUCAAUGUCAGUCUCAGACGAUAUUAAAUAUUCAUUGUGAAAUUU
rnacentral:misc_RNA from 1 species